UACGAAGGGGGCUAGCGUUGCUCGGAAUCACUGGGCGUAAAGCGCACGUAGGCGGACUCUUAAUUCGGUGGUGAAAUCCUGGAGCUCAACUCCAGAACUGCCUUCGAUACUGGGAGUCUCGAGUCCGAGAGAGGUGAGUGGAACUGCGAGUGUAGAGGUGAAAUUCGUAGAUAUUCGCAAGAACACCAGUGGCGAAGGCGGCUCACUGGCUCGGUACUGACGCUGAGGUGCGAAAGCGUGGGGAGCAAACAGG
rnacentral:rRNA from 1 species